rnacentral:rRNA from 1 species
CGACGGGUGAGUACACGUGGGCAAUCUGCCCUUCACUCUGGGACAAGCCCUGGAAACGGGGUCUAAUACCGGAUAACACUCUGUCCCGCAUGGGACGGGGUUAAAAGCUCCGGCGGUGAAGGAUGAGCCCGCGGCCUAUCAGCUUGUUGGUGGGGUAAUGGCCUACCAAGGCGACGACGGGUAGCCGGCCUGAGAGGGCGACCGGCCACACUGGGACUGAGACACGGCCCAAACUCCUACGGGAGGCAGCAGUGGGGAAUAUUGCACAAUGGGCGAAAGCCUGAUGCAGCGACGCCGCGUGAGGGAUGACGGCCUUCGGGUUGUAAACCUCUUUCAGCAGGGAAGAAGCGAAAGUGACGGUACCUGCAGAAGAAGCGCCGGCUAACUACGUGCCACAGCGGG